CAGCAGCCACGGGAAUACGUAGGGUGCGAGCGUUAAUCGGAAUUACUGGGCGUAAAGCGUGCGCAGGCGGUUCGUUAAGACAGAUGUGAAAUCCCCGGGCUCAACCUGGGACCUGCAUUUGUGACUGUAUAGCUAGAGUACGGUAGAGGGGGAUGGAAUUCCGCGUGUAGCAGUGAAAUGCGUAGAUAUGCGGAGGAACACCGAUGGCGAAGGCAAUCCCCUGGACCUGUACUGACGCUCAUGCACGAGAGCGUGGGGAGCAAACAGGAUUAGAUACCCGGGUAGUCCCUGUCUCUUAUAC
rnacentral:rRNA from 1 species